rnacentral:lncRNA from 1 species
UUGCGAAUUUUAAUAGGUUAGACAUUAAGUGCCUUACUUAAAACCAACUUCAGACCACACUGGGUAAGAAUAUUAUUGGAAUAAGCAGUGCAUGGCAUUCUUGGUUUCUAUUUACUAAGAAAAAGACAGGAGAUAUUGCAAUAUAUUCCAACAUACUGGACUUCCUAAUAUGUUUUCAGUGAGAAUAUGAGGAAAAUUAGAAGCAUCACAAAUCCUCUCAUGGUUCCUAGUCAGAUUCGUUAACCACUGUGCCAUGACAGGAACUCCCGAAAUAUUUUCAAAUGAUGACAUAAAAUAUCUUCUAACCAGACAAGUAUGCUAUGUAAAGGGCACCCUGAUAGACUCAGAAGAUCAAGAAAUGUCAUAGAUUCUGCUUUUUAUGAUUUUGUGUAUGCCAAGCACUGAGGGAGCCAUGGGAAAAAUAACUGCUUUGUCAAUUAACUUUUUCAUAAUAAUCCAAGUCUUUAAAAACAAUAGCAAUAAUAAUAAUAAUGUCUGCUCACAAUUAUGCAGCUUAAAACAUGCCAGAUUUGUCUGAUCCAGAAUGAUAAAGAAAAGCUCAUCCCCUAGACAAAAAUUAGGCAUAUGUCCUUGCAAAUAGUUGCAAGAGCACUACCAAAUAUUGCUUUUUAGGACCUUUUGAUAGGCAGCUGUGUGUCUUCUUAUUCUUAUCAUAUUAUUGCAACACUGCCUACUCUGAUCGUUUCGAGAACGGGAGCCUUUCACUGCUCUUUUAUGCACAGUGUUCACCCAGAACUCAGAUCAUAAAAGCCUGGAUAAUUUGGUGCUGAAUUGAGUCAGAGUCAGGAGUUUGGUGUCGAUCUGGUCAGUAGGUCUUGCUUUGCUCAUGGUAAGACACACUACCAAUGAUCUGAACCAUUCUUUUGACUUUGAAAGACAUAUAAUUUAAUUGCUAGAAGCAGGUGAGGGGAACAGCCUAUCUUCACUCCAUGAAAAAGCAGCUCCAAGGCACUAGGGGCUUUUCAAUGAGAACAAACAACCCAUGAAAAUCACCUCCAAGACACUGUAAACAUUCAACAGAGGCAAGUCAGCUGACCCCUUAGUUACACAACUUUUCCGGCUCACUCCCUCUGCUAUUCCCUUUUGUUUUUUACCUUCAUUUUUUUUUCUUUUUUUAUGAUUUUUAUUUUUCCCAUUAUAUUUACUGUGUUCUGCCAAUUUCUACUGUACAGCAAAACGACCCCAUCAUACAUAUAUACAUACAUUCUUUUUCUCACAUUUUCCUCCAUCAUGUUCCACCCCAAGUGACUGGAUAUAGUUCCCUGUGCUGUACAGCACGAUCUCAUUGCUCAUCCACUCCAAAUAUUCUUUGUCUUUCCUUCUCUCUGAACCUUGCUCAUGAGAUCUUCUUUAGGAUUCCUGCUCUGUGGAUCCGUAUGUGACUAUUGAACUGGCUUCUGGAAGUCUCUCUCAGGCAUAGUUUUAGCUAGCCCUCUGGCCUCACACUUCCCAAUAUUCUUUUUCCUUUGUAACUAAGCUGGUUGGUCCUGCUCUGCCAGGCUUUCUUCCAGGUCAAGAGCUUGGAACAGGGAAGGGUGUCUUUGUACACAGGAGCAGGAUGGACAACCAGACCCAAAGUAGGUCUAAGUGAUCCUCUGGACCUCAUUCUAUAGAUGAGGGUCUGAAAGAGCCAUGAAGACAGAGCCAUCUCUGUUCUACCUAUCUUUGUAGCAGAAUAUGACGUAGUGCCCAGUGCAUAGAAAACACUCUAUAUUUAUUUGACGUCACACAGAUAGUACUGAAAGAUCAGUGUCCCAGCCCUUGAUGUCUCCUUGGUGACUUUGGGCAACUAGGACACUGGCAUCAAGGAAAAUACCUAUUCGCAUGUAUGUAUGUAUUUUGUAUUGUUUAUUUUCCCCAACAGAAUGUAAACACUCUGGGCAAAGUGACUUUGUCUUGUCCACUGAUCUUAUCUCCAACUGCCAGACAUUCCCUGGUUCAUAGUAAGAGUUCAGGAAAUAUUUGGGAGAUAGACGAAUACAUAAAGGAAUAGUGUAAUUUAAGAAAAAAACUCCAGGCACAUGGCAUUUUGUUAAUCCCUUCCACGUAAAUUAUAUCACUUUGUCAGAAUUUUUUGGGUCAAUACCUAAGCAGAGAAGAAUCUAAAAUACCACUCAGCUUUAGCUCUGUUGGCUCCUCACUACGCAUUUAGCCACACCCUUUGAAAGGUGAAAAUAAUGUCCCAAAUGGGUCCACGUAUUUUACUUCAGCUUUUGUCCAAUUUCUUUCUUUUUUUUUUUGCUUUUGGUCUUCUUAGGGCUGCACUUGCAACAUAUGGAAGUUCCCAGGCUAGGGAAUGAGUUGGAAGCUGCAGCUGCCGGUCUAUACCACAGCUCACAGCAACACCAGCUCCCAGAUCUGAGCUGCAUCUUUGACCUACACCACAGCUCACAGCAAUGCUUGCUCUUUAGCCCAUUGAGCCUGACCAGAGAUUGAACAUGUGUCCUCAUGGAUGCCAGUUGGGUUCAUUUACCUCUGAGCCACAAUGGGAACUCCCUCAAAUUUCUUAGGUAUUCUCAGCAAAAAUACUUCCACUUACUUAUUCGUUCUACCUCCCUUUUCACUUCUCAAUACACAAAUCCCCAUCCCCUCCCCACUUGCUAUAAUUAAUCAAACACUCUUCCAGUUACCUGGGCAGAUAUUGGGAGACUGGAAGUCUAGGUUACCAUUUUGUAAUAUACAAUUUUAUAUUUUUUGUUAAAUAUAUAAUUUUAAUUCACUAGGGAAAAGUCAGUUUUAAUUAUUAAUCUCUAGAUAUACUAAUAAAAGUAGAAAAAUAUAUAUAGAAUCAAGAAAUUAAUAAAAAUUAAUGCACAUAUAUUUCUUAAUUUUAGAAAGAAUGUAUCUUUCCUGCAUGUUCUCAUUGGAAAAAGUAAAAUGGAAGUUCCCAUUGUGGCUCAGCAGAAACGAAUCUGACUAGCAUCCUUGAGGAUGCAGGUUUGAUCCCUGGCCUUGCUCAGUGGGUUAAGGAUCUAGCGCAGCUGUGAGCUCUGGUGUGGGUCACAGACACAGCUCUGAUCUGGUGUUGCUGUGACUGUGGCGUAGGCCAGUGGCUACAGCUCCAUUUAGACCCUCUAGCCAGGAAGCUCCGUAGGCCAUGGGUGCAGCUCUAGAAAGACAAAAAGGAAAGGAGAGAAAGAAAAGGAAAAAAGAAAAGAAAAGAAAAAAAGUAAAAUGUAGUAUUGCCUUCGCUACUAUCUAGGAGUUGUCCUGAUGUCUUUGGGAACUUCACUUUUCUUUGGCCAUGUUCAAAUUGGAAUUCUUAUGAGCUAAUGGUGUUGCAGGAAGGGAUUUCAUUUAGAAGGAUCAUUAAGCUACUUCAGUAGUAGACUCAGUUGCAUCAACCUGCCUUUGUCAACUUGCUUUGUGAUUUACUCUGAAUUCAGAAAGGAAAGGGGCAAGAUCCUCUCCCACGAAUGAGUGAAUGACAAGUCCAUCAGCGAGCUAUUAUUAGGGACUUAUUUGGCUUCCAAUGAAUAGACUAACUUAGCUUGUAAAGCUUGAAGCAGUGAUUUUAUUUGAAAAUAAUUAGGAACAUGCAUCGAUUUCUGUCUGUGUGUGCUUCCCUUGCCUUUCAAUCAAAUCUGCCUCAAAUUUUAUGCUAUUUUGAACAACUGUUUUUAGAACUAGUAAAACAGAAAAAGUUUAUGCUUUUUGUUAUCUCAACUUGUGGCUAGUGGCUCUCCUGAGGACAGUAACACAGAUGUAUGUAUAUGUGUAUAGAUAAGGUCAUAAAGGAAUGACUUCCAGAUUUUGUAGAAUGUGUUGGUUGAACUCUGUCCUUGAGAACAUGCCCAUGUCUUACAAAAAAACAAAGCACAGUUUUGCAUGUAACCUUUAUCUACAUGUAAAUAUGUUUCUUAAGUUUGCCUUGAGAUUCAGGUUCCUUUUAAAUAACAUGUAUUGAUCUUCUGGCACAUGUAAGAAAUAUUACAUAUCCUAGGGUGAUUGACUGUUCUUUAAUUUGGAGAUGGAAAAUCUUCUUUGGCACUGAUUCUGAUAUUAAAGAAAAACACAUCCCCGGGGACACUAAUUUCACAAAGGAAGGGACGUUCUCCUUACAGACCAAUUCACAGCUGACUGAAAUUGUGAUGUAGAACUCACAGAGUAGAAGAGAAUAGACUUAGAAUGAACAGACUUAUCCAGUGAAUAGACUUAUUCUUUACAUGAAUAGACUAGAAGAAUAAGGCAGCAGCCCAUCUGGAUUUUGACACCCCCAGCCUCUGUUCUCACAGGCCAUUGUCUCACUUCACAUCUUGACACAGUCCACCAGUCUGCAUAUGUGUUGUGUUCCAUGGCCACACUCUACCGUCUUUGACUUUUAGGCUUGAAAUCCCAAUUACAAUGACCCCUUUGUGUCAGACCCUGGUCACUGUACAAAAAGCAAAAUCAAUCAACGAAAUUCAAUUCUGGAAAAACUCUCAAGUCCAUUUUCCAUCUCAUGAGAACAUUUCCUGUUGUAAAUAGUCUCAGUAAUCAAGAGCUUGACUCAGAGGCUGGUGGUUUUAAGUCCUCCAUUUGCUAAUAAUUUCAUCAUUCAUUUAUCCAGUGCUGGCUUCCCAGUGACCGUAGGAUAGACACUAUUCCUUUUUUUUUUUUUUUAGGGCCACACCUGUGGCAUUGGAGGUUCCCCCAGGCUAGGGAUCCAAUCGGAGCUAUAGCUUCUGGCCUCCGCCACAUCUACAGCCACAGCUGCCCAGGAUCCGAGCCGUGCCUGUGACCUAUACCACAGCUCACAGCCACGCUGGAUCCUUAACUCACUGAUUAAGGCCAGGGAUUGAACCUGCAUCCUCAUGGAUGCUAGUCAGGUUCGUUAAUCACUGAGCCACAACGGGAACUCAGACAGAUGCUAUUCUAAGCAUUAAAGAUGAACUAAGGAGAAGGCACAGUUCCUGCCUCAAGGAGCUGAUGGGUUAAUUAGGGGAGAAUACUUGCUGCAAACAAGACUCCCACUUAGAACCACCCUUGCCAUUGAUUGUGAAAUCAUAGGAAUUAUGACAUGGUAUCCCAAACACAAAUGCCUGCAAAGGCCAGGGUGGGGACAAAAAACAAAAUAAAACAAAACAAAAACAAAAAAAAA